rnacentral:rRNA from 1 species
AUUGAACGCUGGCGGCAGGCCUAACACAUGCAAGUCGAACGAGUGGCGGACGUUUGAGUAAUGUCUGGGAAACUCCCUGAUGGAGGGGGAUAACUCCUGGAACCGGUAGCUAAUACCGCAUACCAUCGGAUGUGCCCAGAUGGGAUUAGCUAGUAGGUGGGGUAAAGGCUCACCUAGGCGACGAUCCCUAGCUGGUCUGAGAGGAUGACCAGCCACACUGGAACUGAGACACGGUCCAGACUCCUACGGGAGGCAGAAGAGGGGAAUAUUGAACAAUGGGCGCAAGCCGGAUGCAGCUAUGCCGCGUGUAUGAAGAAGGCCUUCGGGUUGUAAAGGACUGUCAGCGGGGAGGCGUUACCCGCUGAAGAAGCACCGGCUAACUCCUUGCCAGCAGCCGCGGUAAUUC